ensembl:lncRNA
AACAUGGCAGCAUGGAAGACAAUUUGGAUGGCGCUGAGAGACAGCUGAAAAUGCAGGACCACAGCCAAACCAUGAGUGUGUAAUCGAUAGAGCAGGACCAGUGUGAGGAGAGAUGUGCUAAUGAGAUGUAUAUCACUGAGGCCAGCUAAGCUUACUUGUCAGUAGUUGGAUCUUCUAGCCAAAGGACAGCACCUAAUAAAAUAAAGUUUUAAUGAAAAUGUGUGUCCUUA